CGGUCGGCGGCGAUACAGUAAUUCCAGAACACAAGAAAGAUAAUUAUGGCCGCGAAAGAACCAAAUAUCACACAACUAUAUAUUACACCCAAAGGAAGCAUAUUGUUUCUUAUUUCUCCACCCCACCAAAACUUUGUUUUUUUCGUGUCUCCUUAACAAAGUUACUAGACAAAAGUUGUUUUUUCCCUUUCUUAUUUGACAAAACCCUAGACAAAAGGUUACUUUGCAAAAAGUUAGUUUGUAUAUCUAUC